GGCUAAUUCGGGGCGUUGCUAAUACAUGGCGAGUCGAACGCACGGCGAAAGGGGCUUGCACCUUUCAAGUGAGUGGCGGACGGGAGAGUAACACGUGGGCAACCGGCGUCGAGGCUGCCGAUAACAUUUGGAAACAGAUGCUGUUACCUAAGAAAACUUAGUGUCGCAUGACAUGUAGUUAAAAGGCGCUUCGGCGGUUCUAGAGUGUUUCCCCGGGUAUUAACAGUUGGUGGGGUAAAGGCCUACCAAGACAAUGAUGCAUAGCCGAGUUGUAGACUGAUCGGCCACAUUGGGACUGAUCACGGCCCAAACUCCUACGGGAGGCUGCAGUAGGGAAUCUUCCACAAUGGGCGAAAGCCUGAUGGAGCAACGCCGCGUGUGUGAUGAAGGCUUUCGUGUCGUAAAGCACUGUUGUAUGGGAAGAACAGCUAGAAUAGGAAAUGAUUUUAGUUUGACGGUACCAUACCAGAAAUGGACGGCUAAAUACGUGCCAUCAGCCGCCGUAAUACGUAUGUCCCGAGCGUUAUCCGGAUUUAUUGGGCGUAAAGCCAGCGCAUACCGUUUAUUAAGUCUGAUGUGACUCCCCGGGGCUUCAUCUGGAAU
rnacentral:rRNA from 1 species